rnacentral:snRNA from 1 species
AUACUUACCUUCUCAAGAACUUCUGAGCUCAUGAAUUCGGGAGUUCCAAGAGAAAGUCCUGCAUUGCACAGCGCGGAGACGGUCUCUUGUCAUUCUCUUUCGGUAAGUUGUUCAAUGUCGCCCGUUUGUCUGAGCAUCGCUGACCAUACCUUUCUUCUGCAGGGGGCGUGUUUGGGGGAAUUUUUGAUGC